rnacentral:rRNA from 1 species
UCUACGGGAGGCAGCAGUCGGGAAUAUUGCGCAAUGGAGGAAACUCUGACGCAGUGACGCCGCGUGCAGGAAGAAGGUUUUCGGAUUGUAAACUGCUUUAGACAGGGAAGAAACAAGACAGUACCUGUAGAAUAAGCCACGGCUAACUACGUGCCAGCAGCCGCGGUAAU